rnacentral:lncRNA from 1 species
AGAGGAAAUCCGUGAUGCUCGGCAUCCCCAUGUUACCCGCCAGAGUCAGGAGGACCAACACAGGAUUAACUAUGAGGAGAGCAUGAUGGUGCGUUUGAGCGUCAGUAAGCGAGAGAAAGGACGGCGAAAACGAGCAAAUGUCAUGAGCUCACAACUUCAUUCCCUUACACACUUCAGUGACAUCAGUGCUUUGACAGGGGGAACUGUUCAUCUUGAUGAGGUGAGGUUGAGAUAUGGUUGUAGUAGGAUGUGACUUUCAUGCUUUCAGCAAAAUGUAUGUGGGGCUUAUUACCAUGAGGAACUUGGGAAGGGAUGCUGGCUCUCAGAACCACAGUGCCAUUCCAUCACUUCUCCAUCUGUCUCCAGGAUCAGAAUCCUAUUAAGAAGCGGAAGAAGAUACCUCAGAAAGGUCGGAAGAAAAAAGGUUUUCGGAGGCGGCGGUGAUUAUGGGUGU